rnacentral:rRNA from 1 species
AACGAACGCUGGCGGCAUGCCUAACACAUGCAAGUCGAACGCUACCUUCCGGUUUAGUGGCUCACGGGUUCGUAACGCGUUGGAUCCUGCCUUUAGAUUCUGAAUAACUCCCCGAGAUGACUGCUAGUACCGGAUACUAUUUUUGGACCUAUGCUUUAUCGCCUUUGGAUGGGGUCGCGUUGGAUUAGGUAGUUGGUAGGUUAAAAGCCUACCAAGGCGACGAUGCAUAGCUGGUCUGAGAGGAUGGUCAGCCACACUGGGACUGCGACACGGCCAAGACUGGGGAGGAAGGCAGAAGGGGGGAAAAUUGGACGAAGGGAGGAAGCGUGAGGCAUGGAGGCCGUGGGAGUGAAGAAGGCCUUAGGGUAGGGAAGAGCUGUUGCUUUGGAUGAUAAUGAGAGUAGCGGGAGAAGAAGCGCCGGCUAACUCCGUG